GACGAACGCUGGCGGCGUGCCUAAUACAUGCAAGUCGAACGAGUGGCGGACGGGUGAGUAAUGUCUGGGAAACUGCCUGAUGGAGGGGGAUAACUACUGGAAACGGUAGCUAAUACCGCAUACCAUCAGAUGUGCCCAGGUGGGAUUAGCUAGUAGGUGGGGUGAUGGCUCAACUAGGCGACGAUCCCUGGCUGGUCUGAGGGGAUGACGCGCCACACUGGAACUGAGACACGGUCCAGACUCCUACGGGAGGCAGCAGUGGGGAAUAUUGCACAAUGGGAGCAAGCCUGAUGCAGCCAUGCCGCGUGUAUGAAGAAGGCCUUCGGGUUGUAAAGUACUUUCAGCGAGGAGGCGUUACUCGCAGAAGAAGCACCGGCUAACUCCGUGCCAGCAGCCGCGGUAAUUC
rnacentral:rRNA from 1 species